UCCUGCUCCUCUGCAGUAAAGGGAAACAAGGAUAAAAAAACAAUGUUAUUGGCUCAAGGUCAAUGGUGGAGCAACGAUUUAAGUUCAAAUUUUCCAUCUUCAAAUCUUGUGUUCUUUCUUUUGUAGAACUCAAAGGGCUGUGUGAAAAGUUUACUGUGGAAAAAGAAAUUGAAAAAACUGCCACUAAGUAGCAAUGGAAGGACUUUUCCCGCUAAGAUGAGGAACUGCUCAGAUCACCAGCUGCUUCAGGUUACCAGCCCACACCUGUCUGUCUCACCUCUGACAACCUUGAUAUAAAUUAAACAAUGAAUAAGAACAAAAACAAUUUAAAACUGCGUAAUGGUCCAAACCACCAUGGAUGGUGUUCUGACGAUGAUACACGGGGUGAGGUCUGACUCAUGAGCCGCUGUCCGUGAUGACUUGACAUUCUCAAAAGGAAAUCCCGAAUGUUCUCACUGCAUGCUGCUGCAGGCCCUCAUGGCAGGGCAUCCACACCACUGGCUCAGGUGCUGGUUGCUCCAGAAUCUCUCUUCAGCUGGCCUUUUUCUACUGAACUGUCUGUGAGAACAUCACUGCAGGCACGGUUUUCUCCAACCAUAAUUGCUGCUGCCAAAGCCACCUCGGACUUGGGAAAGGGAAACAACACUCCACUAGAGAGCGUAGAAUCUUAGAAUUCAUCUACUUCAUUCUCCUCCUGGUACUCUACUUUCUUCUACAACGUCCCAGCCGAGCUGAGGUCUGAGCUGUGC
rnacentral:lncRNA from 1 species